CCAACUCUACUAUAAGAGUCGCCAUGGUCAAGGUGUGUAAUCUGCCUAGCGGGUCCAGUUGUUCCAGGGUCUGAAGAGGUGCUGUCUGAAAGAACAUGGGUGGAAGACAGGAAGGAGACCAAGCCCACAGCUCCGAAGAUGGACGUUUGGC